AGUGGCGGACGGGUGAGUAACGCGUAAGAAUCUAACUUCAGGACGGGGACAACAGUUGGAAACGACUGCUAAUACCCGUUGUGCCGCAAGGUGAAACCUAAUUGGCCUGGAGAAGAGCUUGCGUCUGAUUAGCUAGUUGGUGGGGUAAAGGCCUACCAAGGCGACGAUCAGUAGCUGGUCUGAGAGGAUGAGCAGCCACACUGGGACUGAGACACGGCCCAGACUCCUACGGGAGGCAGCAGUGGGGAAUUUUCCGCAAUGGGCGAAAGCCUGACGGAGCAACGCCGCGUGAGGGAGGAAGGUCUUUGGAUUGUAAACCUCUUUUCUCAAGGAAGAAGUUCUGACGGUACUUGAGGAAUCAGCCUCGGCUAACUCCGUGCCAGCAGCCGCGGUAAUACGGGGGAGGCAAGCGUUAUCCGGAAUUAUUGGGCGUAAAGCGUCCGCAGGUGGUCAGCCAAGUCUGCCGUCAAAUCAGGUUGCUUAACGACCUAAAGGCGGUGGAAACUGGCAGACUAGAGAGCAGUAGGGGUAGCAGGAAUUCCCAGUGUAGCGGUGAAAUGCGUAGAGAUUGGGAAGAACAUCGGUGGCGAAAGCGUGCUACUGGGCUGUAUCUGACACUCAGGGACGAAAGCUAGGGGAGCGAAAGGGAUUAGAUACCCCUGUAGUCCUAGCCGUAAACGAUGGAUACUAGGCGUGGCUU
rnacentral:rRNA from 1 species